UACGUAGGUGGCAAGCGUUGUCCGGAAUUAUUGGGCGUAAAGAGCUCGUAGGCGGCUUGUCGCGUCGGAUGUGAAAGCCCGGGGCUUAACUCCGGGUCUGCAUUCGAUACGGGCAGGCUAGAGUUCGGUAGGGGAGAUCGGAAUUCCUGGUGUAGCGGUGAAAUGCGCAGAUAUCAGGAGGAACACCGGUGGCGAAGGCGGAUCUCUGGGCCGAUACUGACGCUGAGGAGCGAAAGCGUGGGGAGCGAACAGG
rnacentral:rRNA from 1 species